GGAGGCUCUUCGGAGCUUUCGCUGGAGGAGGGGCUUGCGUCUGAUUAGCUAGUUGGAGGGGUAACGGCCCACCAAGGCGACGAUCAGUAGCCGGUCUGAGAGGAUGAACGGCCACAUUGGGACUGAGACACGGCCCAGACUCCUACGGGAGGCAGCAGUGGGGAAUCUUCCGCAAUGGACGAAAGUCUGACGGAGCAACGCCGCGUGAACGAUGACGGCCUUCGGGUUGUAAAGUUCUGUUAUACGGGACGAAUGGUACGACGGUCAAUACCCGUCGUAAGUGACGGUACCGUAAGAGAAAGCCACGGCUAACUACGUGCCAGCAGCCGCGGUAAUACGUAGGUGGCAAGCGUUGUCCGGAAUUAUUGGGCGUAAAGGGCGCGCAGGCGGCGUCGUAAGUCGGUCUUAAAAGUGCGGGGCUUAACCCCGUGAGGGGACCGAAACUGCGAUGCUAGAGUAUCGGA
rnacentral:rRNA from 1 species